UUGUCAAUCUAACUUGCUUUAGAGGACAACUGACUUUUAUCUUUACGAAUAACUAUCAGAAUUUGGUUAUGUUGUACUUGUAUUUAAUUGUGAUGAAUAUCUCUUGUAAUCUAUGACACAAGCUCAAAUGUUAUGGAAUUUAAUGCAAUGUAGUCAAUAGUCAUCAAUGGGAGAAAGUGUCAUUGCUCAUCCAUCUUUUGUACUUUAUGAUAUUUUUCCGUUUGCCGGUUCUCACUGUGAUUGAAACUUGA
rnacentral:lncRNA from 1 species